rnacentral:misc_RNA from 1 species
GAUGAAGAACGCAGCGAAAUGCGAUAAGUAGUGUGAAUUGCAGAAUUCAGUGAAUCAUCGAAUCUUUGAACGCACAUUGCGCCCCUUGGUAUCCCGACGGGCAUGCCUGUUCGAGCGUCAUUUCACCACUCAAGCCUGGCUUGGUGUUGGGCGACGUCCCCUUUGGGGACGCGCCUCGAAACGCUCGGCGGCGUGGCACCGGCUUUAAGCGUAGCAGAAUCUUUCGCUUUGGAAGUCGGGGCCCCGUCUGCCGGAAGACCUACUCGCAAGGUUGACCUCGGAUCAGGCAGGGAUACCCGCUGAACUUAAGCAUAUCAAUAAGCGGAGGA